AAGAAGAUAAUGGUGGAAAUGUUGAUGAGAAGCAUGUGAAAGUGAUUGAAUACAAGUCCAAAGGAGACGUGGGGGAUGGAAAAGUUCAGUUUGGAGGCACCACUGAUGAAAAAAGGUCACUGGGGAAUGUGUUGGUUGAGGAUAAAAAGAGGAUUUCUCAGCAAAUUUGAUUUGAAUGUAAAGGAAAAUGAGAAGGCUUUGGUUGAACGUGGA